UUGAUCCUGCCGGACCCGACUGCUAUCAGAAUAGGACUAAGCCAUGCGAGUCAACGUAGCAAUACGUGGCAUACGGCUCAGUAACACGUAGUCAACAUGCCCAGGGGACGUGGAUAACCUCGGGAAACUGAGGAUAAACCGCGAUAGGUCAUAAUAUCUGGAAUGAUUUCUGGCUGAAACCUAUAUGGCCCCUGGAUUGGACUGCGGCCGAUCAGGCUGUUGGUGAGGUAAUGGCCCACCAAACCUGUAACCGGUACGGGCUUUGAGAGAAGGAGCCCGGAGAUGGGCACUGAGACAAGGGCCCAGGCCCUAUGGGGCGCAGCAGGCGCGAAAAUUCUGCAAUAGGCGAAAGCUUGACAGAGUUACUCUGAGUGAUGCCCGCUAAGGGCAUCUUUUGGCACCUCUAAAAAUGGUGCAGAAUAAGGGGUGGGCAAGUCUGGUGUCAGCCGCCGCGGUAAUACCAGCACCCCGAGUGGUCGGGACGAUUAUUGGGCCUAAAGCAUCCGUAGCUUGUUCUGCAAGUCUUCCGUUAAAUCCACCUGCUCAACAGAUGGGCUGCGGGAGAUACUACAGGGCUAGGAGGCGGGAGAGGCAAGCGGUACUCAGUGGGUAGGGGUAAAAUCCUCUGAUCCACUGAAGACCACCAGUGGCGAAGGCGGCUUGCCAGAACGCGCUCGACGGUGAGGGAUGAAAGCUGGGGGAGCAAACCGGAUUAGAUACC
rnacentral:rRNA from 1 species